rnacentral:lncRNA from 1 species
AACACUGGUGCCAAGAACCUGUACAUCAUCUCCGUGAAGGGAAUCAAGGGGCGCCUCAACAGGCUUCCUUCUGCCUGUGUUGGUGACAUGGUUAUGGCCACUGUCAAGAAGGGAAAGCCUGACCUCAGGAAGAAGGUCAUGCCGGCUGUCAUCGUCAGGCAGCGCAAGCCGUGGCGCCGAAAGGACGGUGUCUUCAUGUACUUCGAAGGUACUGCUAAGUUCUUAUGAUGACUUCAGUCAUUCUGCAAUCUUGUACUGUUGUUGUUUAAUAUGCCUAGUGAAUUUGCUGUAUGUUAACCUGUUAGUUGCCACAGUUUAAUUUUAGGAAACCACUUGAAUGAACAAAUGAUGUAUGGAAUAUCUGCAAAAUUACAAUUGCGUGUCCUUGCUAGAGAGGUUGAGUUGUGGUUUGAAAGAAAAUUUAAUGCAUCUUUCACACAUUCUAUGGGAUUGCUCAUUUGCCACAAUGAAGCAACAUAUGCAAAUUGGCCAGAAGAACAUCAUAGUGCAGUCUUCUAUUGCAUUUUGCCACCCCCCGGGCACAUUGCAUGUUUUCCUCUUUCAUGUGAGAAUUGCUUAGUCUUAACGUUGUCUGAGACUUUCUGUGUCUGCAUUCUGAUCUGUCAACCUUUCUCUUUGCAAGUGUUGUUGGAUAGUAGUGGCUGAUUUUUUCAAAAUUAAUAUCUAAUGUUUGAUUUUUAUCAUACUUGCAGACAAUGCUGGAGUCAUUGUGAACCCAAAGGGAGAGAUGAAAGGUAUUGAUCAUAUCACUUGCUGAUUCUGUACUUUUCUGCAUGUUGCAUCAACAGGCAGUUGAAACUUGAAAGUAACAAUCGUUGAACCUGUAGUAUACAAGCUGUCUGUAUAUCAAAGAUUAGCUAACUAAAGCAGAUCAGCACAAGCUAUCAACACUCUUUAGCACAUGUCAUUGCUGGUGGAACAGCCUGAUGGAUUGACACAUUCUUCUAUCCUGCAGGUUCUGCCAUCACUGGACCGAUCGGGAAGGAGUGCGCCGACCUGUGGCCCAGGAUUGCCAGCGCAGCGAACGCCAUCGUCUGAUCUGAUCGCCGGAGCAGCUAGAUGAUCAAGGCUUUGAUAGCAUGUCCCUCUUUUAUUCUAGUUUACUUGUGGCCCUUGAGGAUGAGUUUCCUGGAUUAUGUAAUGCUGCUGGAUUAUGGUCUGUUAGCUUUCUUAAGAUUUUGCACUGUGGUUUGGCUACUGAGAUUUGGUGAGUUUGAUGAACCUGAAAGAGCUUUUGGUCCUAUUUAUCUCUGUUGUGGCCA